CACUGAUAUGGGGCUCGAUCUCACAAACCGUGGGAUCAUGACCUGAGCUGAAAUCAAGAGUCAGACGCUUAACCGACAGAACCACCCAGGUGCCCCUGGAUCAUGUGGUAUUUCUGUUUUUAAUUUUUUGAGAAAGCUCCGUACUGUUUUCUGCAGUGGCUGUGAUCUUUGACCCAGGAGGCAGGAAUAUCCAGUGGGAAAAAGACAGUCUCUUCAAUAAAUUAUCCUGGGAAAACUGAACAGCCACAUGCGAAAGAAUGAAACCGGACCACUUUCUUACAACGUACACAAAAUUAACUCUAAGUGGAUUAAAGACCUAAAUGUGAGGUCUGAAACUGUAAAAAUGUAUAGAAGAGAGCCCAGGCAGUAAUCUGACAUGGACCAUAGCAACACUUUUCUAGAUAUGUCUCCUAAAAACGUGAUUUUAAUUAAAAAAAAUCAUUCUGUGUAUCGAGCGUGUCUCCCGAGCCGGCGCCUGCUCUCAGGAGCUCCCGGGCUGGUCUGGCAGGAGAGAGACCCACAGGCAGAGAGGACAAAAGCAUCCUGCAUGGACACGAAGAGGCUUGCCAAUGUAAAAGGGAUAUCACGGAGGUAUAAAAAGCAAAUGUUUGCCAAGUACAGUCUCCGAUCCUCAAGAAUACCAGUAGUUUCAAAAGUAACUGUUAAACAUCAACUAGGGGAAUCCUAGUGCAGGGGAGUGGCGCUUAAUGACACGUUGAUUGGCGACUGCAUUCUUUCGAAACCGGAAUGGCUCCCAAGGGCUUCAUUGCACAACCCGGGACCCAGGCAGACCAACAGACCGUUCAGUGACUAGCAGAGUACUGCAUUUCCGACAUCUGUGUAUCUCAGCACGUUUGAUUUAUUGGGUGCGGGAGCGUCCUCCUGCGUCCGUCCCUCUGCCGUCAGCUGGCCCCGCGGAGGGGAUGGUGCGGACGGCGGCAGGGAGGGCACGCAUCGCGGCCACACGAGGCGCCCGGGUGGAUAAGGAACCACUUGUGCUGCCCACGUGCCGUGCCGGUCGGGAUCGUACGAACACUCAGACGCAGGAAAAGCCCAGGCUGGGAGCGCCCGGAAGGGUCUUCAACGCCACCAAGAUUUUUAAAUCUACAUUGGAGAGAGUUUUAGCCGGAUUCACGGAGGGUCGGGUCCCAGCUGUUUCCAGUUAUCGGCACGGUAACGUCCAUACGUGAGCCGGUGAUGACCAAACAGUUGAGGAAGGAACGAGGAGGAAAAGCCAGUGCCCCCAGCACCCGCCGGCUCAGCUCAGCUCAGCUGCCUCCUGUUUCUGGGUCUUCGCCUGAGUUGCCCCUGAGCUCCAGAGACAACACACCGAUUUCAGGGGUUGCUCUGCUCUGCUGACUCGUCUGCUGACGCCCGCCCGCUCCCAUCUUUGCUCAUUAUUGUUUUUGUUGCUUUUAUAACUUUAGGCAGGUUCAUGCGACUCCUACCCAGUUUAUAAUACAUCAUGAACUGGAUUAUGUGGGCACUGUCGUAUUUGUGUGUAUGCUGAAAAUUAUACAUGCCAUCCUUUCUUAA